AGCAGUCGCCGCGGGAAAACGAAGGGGGCUAGCGUUGUUCGGAAUUACUGGGCGUAAAGCGCACGUAGGCGGACAUUUAAGUCAGGGGUGAAAUCCCAGGGCUCAACCCUGGAACUGCCUUUGAUACUGUCGAUCUGGAGUAUGGAAGAGGUGAGUGGAAUUCCGAGUGUAGAGGUGAAAUUCGUAGAUAUUCGGAGGAACACCAGUGGCGAAGGCGGCUCACUGGUCCAUUACUGACGCUGAGGUGCGAAAGCGUGGGGAGCAAACAGGAUUAGAUACCCCGGUAGUCCCUGUCUCUUAUAA
rnacentral:rRNA from 1 species